rnacentral:rRNA from 1 species
GACGAACGCUGGCGGCGUGCUUAACACAUGUAAGUCGAACGAAGAGCGAUGGAAGCUUGCUUCUAUCAAUCUUAGUGGCGAACGGGUGAGUAACGCGUAAUCAACCUGCCCUUCAGAGGGGGACAACAGUUGGAAACGACUGCUAAUACCGCAUACGAUCUAAACUCGGCAUCGAGGAUAGAUGAAAGGUGGCCUCUACAUGUAAGCUAUCACUGAAGGAGGGGAUUGCGUCUGAUUAGCUAGUUGGAGGGGUAACGGCCCACCAAGGCGAUGAUCAGUAGCCGGUCUGAGAGGAUGAACGGCCACAUUGGGACUGAGACACGGCCCAGACUCCUACGGGAGGCAGCAGUGGGGAAUCUUCCGCAAUAGACGAAAGUCUGACGGAGCAACGCCGCGUGAGUGAUGACGGCCUUCGGGUUGUAAAGCUCUGUUAAUCGGGACGAAAGGCCUUCUUGCGAAUAGUGAGAAGGAUUGACGGUACCGGAAUAGAAAGCCACGGCUAACUACGUG